AGGUUUGCCUGUAUAUGUCUUUCAGAACAGAUUUCUUCUUAUUCUAUUUAAUCGCUUUAGUUUCUAGUUACUAGUUUCUAUCUGGGUCCUUUGAAAAGCAUAUAACAAGUUAUAAAGAUCUUGAAGAUAUAUUACGUUGAUGAAUUUAAUCAUUUUCGUACAAUUUGUUCAUACAUGUAUCACCAUGUUAUAAUAUAUGUGAUGACGGCAUCUACAUUUUCCUUUUUAAACUAUAUUUGUUUGUGGGUUUUGCAGGAUGCAAUACAAAUAGACGAGGACCUCCUACAAAAUAGUGCCAGAGCCCUGGAAACAUUAGUUUCCGUAGGAAUGAGGAUGGGAGUCUCCAAAAAGGAAAUACUUCAAACUGAGUUACCAAGCUUGGAAGAUUGUGUUAUAGCAGCUUGAAUAAGGUGAGCUAAGGCUUAGUAGAUACUUCAAACUGAGUUACCAAGCUUGGAAGAUUGUGUUAUAGCAGCUUGAAUAAGGUGAGCUAAGCUAGUUUAUUUUUGAAAACUUUGUAAAUUGUACUAAUUUGGAUAUGUAUUUGAUUUCUUAUAUUUCUCAAUAUAAGUUCUGCUUUCUUUAUUUCAUGGCCCCUAUGAUUUCCUCUGUUUGCCUUACCUUGAUAUCCUGCCCUUUUUAAUAAUCUUUUCAAGCAUUCUAUUUAGUAGCUGGCACCUCCCUGAGCUCCCUAGGGUUGGCAUCCUAUCAGAUAUCUCACUUGAGUUGUAACCAUCUGUUCUGCCUUGUGAUAUAUAAAGCCUGCCAAGGAAAUUCAAGCAGUGGUACUUUGUAUGAAUUUCUAGUAUUUUGCCUCUUUUAUGUCCCAAUAUAGCAUUUAUAAGUUAUUCUCAAAACGAAAAAAUAGCAUUUACAACACAUUUACCCUUAUGAUAGAUAUAUGGGAAUUUGUUUUCUUUACAAUCGUCAUUAAUAUGCUUCCACCGAUCCAUGUAGGGACACAAAAUUAACAAUAUAUUUUUAUGAUAGAUACGUGGCUAUUCUUUUUAACUUAUCGAAGUUUGGUUGCAGGUAGCCUUUGUAGCAAUUGGUGCAACCAUGGUUGGUAGCAUCACUUUUCUGAAGAACACGGGUGACUUUGUCAAAAAAGGAGAUGAGGUUAGAAGUUCCUAAAUAAUGUUGCUCUUGUUGUGGUUCUCUCAAAUUUGUCUUUGCUUCUAAUUGACAUUUAUUCAUUUUAAUUUACAGUUUGGAUAUUUCUCAUUUGGUGGGAGCACAGUAAUUUGUGUAUUUGAAAAGGUUUGCCUGUAUAUGUCUUUCAGAACAGAUUUCUUCUUAUUCUAUUUAAUCGCUUUAGUUUCUAGUUACUAGUUUCUAUCUGGGUCCUUUGAAAAGCAUAUAACAAGUUAUAAAGAUCUUGAAGAUAUAUUACGUUGAUGAAUUUAAUCAUUUUCGUACAAUUUGUUCAUACAUGUAUCACCAUGUUAUAAUAUAUGUGAUGACGGCAUCUACAUUUUCCUUUUUAAACUAUAUUUGUUUGUGGGUUUUGCAGGAUGCAAUACAAAUAGACGAGGACCUCCUACAAAAUAGUGCCAGAGCCCUGGAAACAUUAGUUUCCGUAGGAAUGAGGAUGGGAGUCUCCAAAAAGGAAAUACUUCAAACUGAGUUACCAAGCUUGGAAGAUUGUGUUAUAGCAGCUUGAAUAAUGUGAGC
rnacentral:lncRNA from 1 species